rnacentral:rRNA from 1 species
UACGGAGGAUGCGAGCGUUAUCCGGAUUUAUUGGGUUUAAAGGGUGCGCAGGCGGAAGAUCAAGUCAGCGGUAAAAUUGAGAGGCUCAACCUCUUCGAGCCGUUGAAACUGGUUUUCUUGAGUGAGCGAGAAGUAUGCGGAAUGCGUGGUGUAGCGGUGAAAUGCAUAGAUAUAACUUAGAACACCGAUAGCGAAGGCAGCUUACCAGACUGAGUCUGACGCUGAUGCACGAGAGCAUGGGUAGCGAACAGG